AGUUGUGGCCGCUUAAGUCUGCCAAUCACCAGAGAGGACAGUGGUCAUGUAUUUAUAUUUAUAACCCAUGUUCAUCCCCAAAUGCUGGACAGUCACCAGGAAACGCCGUCAGCCACUUUUCCUGCAUGCGGCUUGGGACAUCCUUGGAGAAACCACUGCUUCUCACAGGACAGGACCAGGCGGGGAAUGAAGGCAGGAGUCAUUUUCCCCUGUGGCCCGGGUGGUGCUUGUGCCGGGAAUUUCGAUUAGGUGUUGCCAUCUGACCUGCGCAGAGCAAAUCUUACCGAUAGGAGAGGGACGCACCCGCCGCCGCCCCGCACCCGGUGAGAAGGAAGAGGCUUUGCUCCUUGAUCUGGACGCAGAUGCCAGGCCCCGCUUCACGGCGAGUGGAGACCCACACGUCCUCGAUGAAAACAGCCACAGCGGCUGCUCCCCCAUGAGUGCCUGGCCCGCCUGGCCCCGCCUGGCCCUGUCCCAAGGCUCUGCAUGUGUCCACUCUUCCCAUCCUCAUGGGUCCUCUGAUGGAUGAUAUCCAUUGGACGCUGUUGGAAACAGAGAAGGCGGGGCGGGAAGUCAAGGGGCUCCAGCCGCGAAGGUGCUGAGCUGGACUCCAGACACAGACAGCCCGUCUUCAGGUUAUUCUACUUCCUGGGACGUCUAUGCUGUGGUCAGCAGAGCUGAGGGGACCCUCGGGGCUGUGACUCAUCAGCCUGGCAUCCACCACUGUCCCCUCCUGGCCUGGCGAGCACCAGCCCUUCCUCUGGGGCCCAGCUGCACCAACCCUUCCUCCAGAUCAGCUUCCAGACCCCUGAGGGCGGGUCUGCCCCCCACCCCAACACACAUACAACGCGGCAGGUCGGCAGAGAAUUCACAGCAAAGAGAGAGUCCCAGACGAGCAGGCAGUUGGUCUAAUGUGAGAAGUCAGUCCUGGCAGAGGCCAAGCCCAUCGUCCUCCUUCCCCCAAUGCCACGGGCCUCCAGCGUCACCAGCGUGAGGAGGGACAGGCGUGUGGCGGAUGUGGCUGUGCUGCCAGGCACCAUCACGCAUCUGCAGUGCUGUGUCUCCCGGGACAUUAAGACCCCAGUUUCUUCGUCCUUUGUGCUGAGUUUUGGCCAGAGGAGUGCAGGGUGGAUAUUGUGUAACUCAGGGGUCAGCGGGGCACACCGGGUCCUCUAGGACUCAAUCAGAACUGGCUGAGCCUCCUGCCCACAUCCUGUGGGAAGGCUGGACCUCCCCAACAUUCCUGUAAGUGCUGGGGGAAUGACUUUCCCUCGGUCACUUCAGGUCCAGUUUCCUGUCCCCUGACCUCGAGAUGCCCUUCCCAGCUCACCUCAAGGGGUGGCCUAUGUCCCACACCUGGCAGCAACCUGUCCCCUGAUUCCCCAGCCUCCACCCUCAAGCUCUGGGGGCCUGCACUCAGGAGUUGGGGGCCUGGGCCGGGGCAUCUGCAGCAUAGCAGGGGGUUCAGGUGGGAGGCCAGGGCCCUCCCUACCUGCCCUGGGGACGGCUCAGCUGCAGACCUCCCCCUCUCAACUGACUGGACACCAUUGUUUGCCAAACCCGCAUCUCAAGUCCCCCUUGAACUUCCGACCUUCAUUUAGCAUCAGCUUGUCUCUCAGUGACUUGCACUCCUGCCCCAGCAGACCCUGAUUUAUCUUCGGUGAUCGAAACGCCCAUUCUCCCAGAGACGGAAGCCAGCAGAGGGGCCAUCUCUGCUUCUCUCCUCAGCAGCCCCCAUGUCUGGACAAGAGCCUAGACUGUGUAGCUGUUCUGUGUCAGCCACACAGUGUCAGGAUGGGCAGGAGGAAGAGAAGGGGCGAUCUACCUCUGAACGCACAACUGAGUACAAUUGUGCACACCUGUACACACCUGUACACACUUACUGUGUGUGUGUACAGAUGUGUACAAGUAUUUACAUGAGUUCACAAGUAUUCAAAAGUGCACGAUUGUGAACACGUGUGUACAUAUGUGUACAAGAAUGCACGUAUGUGUGUAGAAGUGUUCACAAGUCUGUACCUAUGUGUACAAUUGUGUACCACUGUGUGCAAGUGUAUACUUGUGUUCACAUUGUGUACAAGUGUGUACUUGUGUGCACGAGCUUGAUAUCAUGUGUGUACAUGUAUGCCUGGGUGUGCAUUUGUGCUUACGCAUGUGUGCAUGUCUAUGCAUGUGUGUGCAUAUGUACAUGCUGGAAAUCAAAGCUAAUAAGCCUCGGCUCCUGCCCACGGGCUUCACAGAAAGGGUAUGAUCCUGAAAUCCAUUCGCAUCUCUGGCUGGCGAGGCUGUCUUUCCAUUGGCACUGGGAGUGAAGGGAGAAAUAGCCAAGGAGCUCCUAGCCAAGAAGACUGCAGUCAGCAUGCUCCACCCAGAUGCCCACCGGGCCAUUUCAGUUGACACCUGAAGUGUCCGGGGCUCACUGGGAAGCAGGUGGACGAGUCAGGGCUGGGGGUCACGCAGGAGCUGGGCUGGAUUCACACAGCCUCGAGCUGCAGCCCUGGAGGCAAAGCCUGCGCACUGUCUUGGGCUGGGCCCUUCCCCAGGGCCCCGUCACACCCAGGCGCUGCACGUCCUUCGUGUCCUGCAGUCCAGGGGGAGGUGCGCGAACCUUACAGACCUGCAGGCUGUUCUGGACCCGGGGACACCUGCCCUCGCGCCCCAGGGCCCCCACUCUCUUUUGCCCUCACCCCACAGGCAGAGGCUUCCUGCCAAACCCAGGACACCUCGAUCUUAAAAAAGGGCUGAAUCUCAGCUGCUGCUUCCUCCUCCCGCCUCUCUGGGUCGUGUCCAUUCAGAGGAGAUGCCCCUCCAGUCUCCACUGAGCUGUGAGGAUCCCAAGUCACCUCCUGGGAGCGUCCGACCUCCAGGACACCGGCUGGGCUGAGCUCUGCUUCCUCUGCCUGGCAGUGGGGUUGACACUGUGAGGAAUUUUCUGGUUACUUUGUGGAUACAGUCAUUUGGCUCCAGACAAAACCGAGCAUCCAUCUGCAUCUGAUUUCAGUCAGUCGUGAGCUUGUUGUCUUUUUUCU